GACGAACGCUGGCGGCGUGCCUAACACAUGCAAGUCGAACGGAGAUAUUAGAGGAAGCUUGCGAAUCUAAUAUCUUAGUGGCGGACGGGUGAGUAACGCGUGGGUAAUCUGCCCAAAAGUGGGGGACAACAGUUGGAAACGACUGCUAAUACCGCAUACGCUGCCGCAAGGCAGGAAAGGAGGCCUCUUAACAAAGCUUCCGCUUAUGGAUGAGCCCGCGUCUGAUUAGCUAGUUGGCAGGGUAAAGGCCUACCAAGGCGACGAUCAGUAGCCGGCCUGAGAGGGUGAACGGCCACACUGGGACUGAGACACGGCCCAGACACCUACGGGUGGCAG
rnacentral:rRNA from 1 species